AAUCUUAUAGUUUAAGUUAAGAAUUUUAAUUUGCAAAAUUAAUGGUGUUAUUCUAAGAUUU
rnacentral:tRNA from 1 species